GCCGGGUAUGGUGGCUCAUGCCUGUAAUCCCAGCACUUUGGGAGGCCGAGGCGGGUGGAUCACCUGAGGUCAGGAGUUCAAGACCAGCCUGGCCAACAUGGUGAAACCCUGUCUCUA
ensembl:misc_RNA Metazoa_SRP Metazoan signal recognition particle RNA